CAUGGGAUCCCUAAAAGAUAACAGACACAACACUAUAAUAAACUAGCUCGCACUCUCUCUCUCUGUGCUCAAAGUUCUGACUGAUUUAGACAUCGAAGGAUUUCCUAUUAGAGCACUCCCCUCUAAUACAAGUGGAUUUCUUUUGUAGAUCUCCCAUGAUGCUUCGAUAUCCUGGCCGAUGUCUCUCCUCUACCACAUCAGUUCGCCUCGAAGCAUUGACACAAUAGAUCUAAUGCUAUUGCCAAUAUAAGCUUUAGAACUAUGCC
rnacentral:lncRNA from 1 species